AAUCAACGCUGGCGGCGUGCCUAACACAUGCAAGUCGAACGCGAAAGCCCCUUCGGGGGUAAGUAGAGUGGCGUCCGGGUGAGUAACACGUAGGUAAUCUACCUUCGGGUGGGGAAUAACCAGUCGAAAGAUUGGCUAAUACCGCAUAAUGCAGCGGCACCUAAUGGUGAUUAGUUGUUAAAGCGGGGGAGUCGUAAGACCUCGCGCCUGAAGAGGAGCCUGCGGCAGAUUAGCUAGUUGGGAGGUAAUGGCUCACCAAGGCUUCGAUCUGUAGCUGGUCUGAGAGGACGGCCAGCCACACUGGCACUGACACACGGGCCAGACUCCUACGGGAGGCAGCAGUGGGGAAUUUUGGGCAAUGGGCGAAAGCCUGACCCAGCAACGCCGCGUGAGGGAGGAAAUCCUUCGGGAUGUAAACCUCACAAGCAAGGGAAGAGAGCUC
rnacentral:rRNA from 1 species